rnacentral:rRNA from 1 species
AUCGAAUCUUUGAACGCACCUUGCGCCCCUUGGUAUUCCGAGGGGCACACCCGUUUGAGUGUCGUGAAAAUCUCAACCUCCUUGGUUUCUUUUUGGAUGCCAAAGGAGGCUUGGACUUUGGAGGGCUUUGCUGGGCUUGAAAGGUCAGCUCCUCUCAAAUGAAUUAGCGAGGUUCCCUUUGCCGAUCCUCGACGUGUGAUAAGAUGCUUCCACGUCUCGGUCUUUGGCUCUGUCGCCUCUUGGGGCCUGCUUCCAAUCGUCUCUGGAUGAGACAACGUUCGAGCUUGCCUCGACCACGUACCCUUGACCUCAAAUCGGGUGAGACUACCCGCUGAACUUAAGCAUAUCAAUAAGCGGAGGAAAAGAAACUAACAAGGAUUCCCCUAGUAACUGCGAGUGAAGCGGGAAAAGCUCAAAUUUAAAAUCUGGCGGUCCUUGGCCGUCCGAGUUGUAAUUUAGAGAAGCGUCUUCCGCGCCGGACCGUGCACAAGUCUCCUGGAAUGGAGCGUCGUAGAGGGUGAGAAUCCCGUCUUUGGCACGGACACCCGGUGCUUCUGUGAUGCGCUCUCGAAGAGUCGAGUUGUUUGGGAAUGCAGCUCAAAAUGGGUGGUGAACUCCAUCUAAAGCUAGAUAUUGGCGAGAGACCGAUAGCGAACAAGUACCGUGAGGGAAAGAUGAAAAGCACUUUGGAAAGAGAGUGAAACAGUACGUGAAAUUGUUGAAAGGGAAACGCUUGAAGUCAGUCGCGUCGACCGAGACUCAGCCUUGCCUCGGCUUGGUGUACUUCUCGGCUUGACGGGUCAGCGUCGAUUUUGCCCCUCGGAUAAUGGCAAGGGAAAGGUGGCACCUUUGCAGGUGUGUUAUAGUCUCCUGUCGCAUGUGAGGGGUGAGAUCGAGGAACUCAGUGCGCGCCUCUGGCGUCGGGGCUUUUUGGCCCACGUACGCGCUUAGGACGCUGGCGUAA